AGCGAACGCUGGCGGCAGGCCUAACACAUGCAAGUCGAACGGAUCCUUCGGGAUUAGUGGCGGACGGGUGAGUAACACGUGGGAACGUGCCCUUUGGUUCGGAACAACUCAGGGAAACUUGAGCUAAUACCGGAUGUGCCCUUCGGGGGAAAGAUUUAUCGCCAUUGGAGCGGCCCGCGUCUGAUUAGCUAGUUGGUGAGGUAAAGGGUCACCAAGGCGACGAUCAGUAGCUGGUCUGAGAGGAUGAUCAGCCACAUUGGGACUGGGACACGGCCCAAACUCCUACGGGAGGCAGCAGUGGGGAAUCUUGCGCAAUGGGCGAAAGCCUGACGCAGCCAUGCCGCGUGAAUGAUGAAGGUCUUAGGAUUGUAAAAUUCUUUCACCGGGGACGAUAAUGACGGUACCCGGAGAAGAAGCCCCGGCUAACUUCGUGCCAGCAGCCGCCGUAAAAC
rnacentral:rRNA from 1 species